GAUGAACGCUGGCGGCGUGCCUAAUACAUGCAAGUCGAGCGAACAGACGAGGAGCUUGCUCCUCUGACGUUAGCGGCGGACGGGUGAGUAACACGUGGAUAACCUACCUAUAAGACUGGGAUAACUUCGGGAAACCGGAGCUAAUACCGGAUAAUAUAUUGAACCGCAUGGUUCAAUAGUGAAAGACGGUUUUGCUGUCACUUAUAGAUGGAUCCGCGGCGCAUUAGCUAGUUGGUAAGGUAACGGCUUACCAAGGCAACGAUGCGUAGCCGACCUGAGAGGAUGAUCAGCCACACUGGAACUGAGACACGGUCCAGACUCCGACGGGAGGCAGCAGUGGGGAAUAUUGGACAAUGGGCGCAAGCCUGAUACAGCAAUACCGCGGGGGUGAAGAAGGCCUUCGGAUUGUAAAGCCCUUUUGUUGGGAAAGAAAAGCAGCAGGUGAAUACCCCGCUGUUCUGACGGUACCCAAAGAAUAAGCACCGGCUAACUUCGUG
rnacentral:rRNA from 1 species